rnacentral:rRNA from 1 species
CACGCAGGGCGCAAGCGUUGUCCGGAAUUACUGGGCGUAAAGCGUGCGCAGGCGGUUUUGUAAGCCAGAUGUGAAAUCCCCGGGCUUAACCUGGGAAUGGCAUUUGGGACUGCAAGGCUGGAGUGUGGCAGAGGAGACUGGAAUUCCUGGUGUAGCAGUGAAAUGCGUAGAUAUCAGGAGGAAUACCGAUGGCGAAGGCAGGUCUCUGGGCUGACACUGACGCUCAUGCACGAAAGCGUGGGGAGCAAACAGG